CAUAAGACCCACCAUACCCAGGGUCCCCUAUCAGCCUCUGCACCAUCCUUCCCCAACGCACCUCCACCCGGCACCUGUGCUCCAUCUCAAGCUCACCAACCAGCUCCUCCCUCAACCUUUGCCUCCUUCAAUCACUAGACCCACCAUACCAACGGUCCCACAUCAGCACCUUCUCCCAUUUCCUUUCCUCCGACGCUACCAACUCCCCCUUCCAACACAUUUGCUCGCAGCACCGCUUAAGUUCCUUUCUCCUUAACCCCAACUCUUCACCACCUGCCGCUCCUCAUCCAUUCCUCCACCACUAGAACCACCACUCUCCAUCUUUAUCGACGCUCCAAACCUAUAGUAUGUACCCUCUGUCAAUCCUCACCCAACCUGCAUGACCAGUUCACAGAAUCGAUUCCCUCUUACGGAAGAACGUAUAGGUAUUCUUUCUCCAAGAGAGACUCAAUGCUGCAAGAAAUCAGAGUACUCAUUUUCAUUCCAAGAUCACAGAAUCACGCGCCGUCAUUGUCGAUUCCAAAUAGAAAUUCCAUUUCCAGCGCCGCUCCUCUCAUCUCCACCGCUGCCCUUAGUUGCGCCAAACCAGGGAUGAUGACUGCCCAUUUCGACGCCGCAGGUCUUCGCAGCACCUGGUGUGACUACUGCAGAGUAUUGGGCCAAAUAGCCAUACCUACGAAGUAGUGGAGCACGAAGACAAGUGUCCCCCCCCUCCCCCCCACGUCGUUGCAACUAAUGACAUUCAAAAAUUUGUGGGUCGGCCGCUUCCCUUCGAGUGAGUAUAGGAUGUCGGGUGUUUCUCAUCGACGAGCUCUGGUGCUGGCCCAACUUUCUUGUUUAUCGCUAGACUGUGAAGACUUGCUAUGGAAAAACGCUUCCUCUGAGGGCUAACAGUUGCUUGGUGAACAACACUCUUAUAUUGGCCGUUGCUCAUUACUUCUACCUGAUCUCCCAACUGAACCAGUAGUGCUCCUUCAAUCACUGGAACUGGGAUCCAAUUCUUAUUCUGGUCCAUGAUCUGUAGACCAGUGCAGCUCUGAAGUAAGAUCGUUAAUGAUCCAUAGUCUGAGUGUGGUGGCAUGCCUAAUGUGAGCUGUGGUUCAGGACAUGCUGGAUAGCAGUUCAUGGUCAUCACUUGUGAUCCUUCUUCAAUUUCAUUUUGCCAUAGGUGAAUCCACUCUGAGAUGGGAUGAGAGUAAUGCUUGAUGAAGUCUCUCCAAAAAUGAACUUUAUCCCUCGAAUGAUUUAAACUGGUGCCAUACCUUACAGGGGCAUGGACAUUGGCAGACAUCAGAAGCAUCUUCUCUUCAAGAGGCAGGUCGAAGAAGCCCAUCACAGCAUCUAGAGCAUUUUUCAUCACAUGAAGAGGGAUUCCAUGGUUUAUCACCUGAAAACAUGCACUUCGUAUCUCAUUUACAACACGAGACCUAAGAGAAGGAUGGUGCAGCAUGGAAAGGUUAACAAUUGGAAGGGUGGUGGAGAGGGUCAGAGUAGCAUUUGGCCUUGCUGAUGAAGGAAGAAUGUAAGAAUCGGGCACGUUAGAUGCCCCUGACUUGUUACAUUGUAUAGGAAGCACAAAUAAUGGUGUGCAGUCCAAACGUGGAUAUUACACUCAUAAAUGUAUUGGGUGAGAGAGAAGGAAGAAACGGAGGAAGUGGUCCCCACCAAUUUGCAGGCUGAUGAUGAAAGAAAUCUAUCCCGUAGUGCAACAUUCCCGGCAGCAAGAGAUGGCGGAAUACAUAUCUAUAAUACACAUCUCCUUGUAUAAACCGUCAUCACACGUGCAGCUUUUUAUUUUGAUCCGCGUGUUGUCUUGUAAGCAGUGGGUGCAUUGGGACAUGACGGCUUCAAGUCCUGAAGGCUUGAAUCUAAUUGGUUUUAUAGUGGUUUCUUUUUCUAAUCGAGUUUAAUCAACAUUUUAAUUGGGACAGGAUCAAUUGGCUUAAAAA